UACGUAGGGGGCAAGCGUUGUCCGGAAUCAUUGGGCGUAAAGAGCGUGUAGGCGGCCAGGUAGGUCCGGUGUGAAAACUCGAGGCUUAACCUCGAGAUGUCAUCGGAAACCAUCUGGCUAGAGUCCGGAAGAGGAAAGUGGAAUUCCUGGUGUAGCGGUGAAAUGCGCAGAUAUCAGGAGGAACACCAAUUGCGAAGGCAGCUCGCUGGGACGUUACUGACGCUGAGACGCGAAAGCGUGGGGAGCAAACAGG
rnacentral:rRNA from 1 species